ensembl:lncRNA
CUAUCCAAUACUCUCUACUAUCCUAUACCCUCUACUAUCCUAUACCCUCUAUUAUCCUAUACCCUGUAUUAUCCUAUACCCUGUAUUAUCUUAUACCCUCUAUUAUCCUACACCCUCUAUUAUCCUAUAGCCUCUAUUAUCCUACACCCUCUAUUAUCCUAUACCCUCUAUUAUCCUACACCCUCUAUUGUUCAGUACCCUCUAUUAUCCUAUACCCUCUAUUAUCCUAUACCCUCUAUUAUCCUAUACCCUGUAUUGUUCAGUACCCUCUAUUAUCCUAUACCCUCUAUUAUCCUAUACCCUCUAUUAUCCUAUACCCUCUAUUAUCCUAUACCCUCUAUUAUCAUAUACCCUCUAUUAUCCUAUACCCUCUAUUAUCCUAUACCCUCUACUAUCCUAUACCCUGUAUUGUCUUACACCCUCUAUUAUCCUACACCCUCUAUUAUCCUAUACCCUCUAUUAUCCUAUACCCUCUAUUAUUCUAUACCCUCUAUUAUCCUACACCCUCUAUUAUCCUACACCCUCUAUUAUCCUAUACCCUCUAUUAUCCUACACCCUCUAUUAUCCUAUACCCUGUAUUGUCUUAUACCCUCUAUUAUCUUAUACCCUGUACUAUCCUGUACCCUCUAUUGUUCAGUACCCUGUAUUAUCCUAUACCCUCUAUUAUCCUACACCCUCUAUUGUCCUACACCCUCUAUUAUCCUAUACCCUCUAUUGUCCUACACCCUCUAUUGUCCUACACCCUCUAUUGUCCUACACCCUCUAUUAUCCUACACCCUCUAUUGUCCUACACCAAAUCAAAUCAAAUCAAACUGUAUUUGUCACAUGUGCCGAAUACAACAGUGAAAUGCUUACUUACAGGCUCUAACCAAUAGUGCAAAAAUGUAUUAGGUGAACAAUAGGUAAGUAAAGAAAUAAAACAAGAGUAAAAAAUAAAUAAAAAAUUGCUAUUUCGUUACUGUUUCACCACUGUUUCACCACUGUUUUGUUACAGUUUCACCACUGUUUCACCACUGUUUCAUUACAGUUUCACCACUAUUUCGUUGCUAUUUCGUUACUGUUUCACCACUGUUUCGGCAUUGUUUCUCCACUGUUUCGCCAAUGUUUUGUUACAGUUUGACCAUUGUUUCGUUACAGUUUCGCCACUGUUUCCUUACAGUUUCACCACUGUUUCUCCACUGUUUCACCACUGUUUCGUUACAGUUUCACCACUGUUUCGUUUUUGUUACAGUUUCACCACUGUUUCACCACUGUUUCAUUACUGUUUCACCA